UCUAUGGCCAUACCACCCUGAACACAUCUGAUCUCAUCUGAUCUUGAAAGUUAAGCAGGGUUGGGCCUGGUUAGUACUUGAAUGGGAGAAUGUCUUAUACCAAAAAUGGCUGGAAACUUAAGAAAUCUGGCCAAGAA
rnacentral:rRNA from 1 species